ACCUGUUCCCUCUCCAAGGGUUGCUCCUAAUCAAGACGAAAAAAAAAAACGUUUCAACGAAAAAGAUAUUCUUUUUUAAAUAGACUUAAAAAGGUAAAUAAGACAAACAAAUCGAAACUGAAGAAAUAACUACUCGUACUAUCAUAAACCUUUUGGCUUUUACAUGCAUGCAUAAAAGGUAAAACAUGUAUUGAAUAGUCCUCAUGAUUGAAAAAAUAGAGUGUAAAAAUUUGUGUUGUCUUCUUAAUAACUUAAAUCCAUUUCACGAAUGACAUUAUGAAAAAGGAUUGUUACUCACAUCUUGUGGUAAACCGUUAAUGUCGUACUCCCUUCAUUUAAAAAAGAAUGACCUAGCUUGAUUUACACGAAGUUUAAGAAAAAAAAAACUUUUCAAUGUAAACGUUCAAAAUAAAGUUAUGUCAAAUGUACCAAGUGUCUUUAAUCGCAUGAUCUAAAUAUGUUGAGUUGAAAGUUGAAAUUGAAGUGUUCGCCAAAACAGAAAAUGAAUCAUUGUUUUUGGAAAAGACUAAAAAGAGAUAUAGGUAGUUUUUUUUAAACGGAAGGGGUAUUUAUUUCAUCUAAUACUUUCUCUAAGUGCCAAUUAAUAGUAGGUUAUAUAUUUGAUACUCCCUUCGUUUUAAGUUGUUUGUUUAGUUUUGAUUUGAUACGUAAUUAAAAAAAA